AUAUCCUUUAACUGUAGUCCCGAGAGACUAAGAAGGAAACGAUGAAUAGCUGAUUGAAAAUCAAUCUGUCAAUCAUUCAUAUUGCCCUCUUGUCUUUCGAUUAGACAAGAGGUUAUUUAU
rfam:Bacillus sp. TS-2 DNA, contig: BspTS2nb21.